rnacentral:tRNA from 1 species
GGGCGCGUAGUGGAGUGGUUACCACGUUGGUCUUCGAAACCAAAGUUCGUCGGUUCGAUCCCGGCCGUGCUCA